rnacentral:rRNA from 1 species
AACGAACGCUGGCGGCGUGCUUAACACAUGCAAGUCGAACGCACCGCAAGGUGAGUGGCGCACGGGUGAGUAACGCGUGGGAAUCUACCUUUUGAUUCGGAAUAACAUCGGGGAACUGGUGCUAAUACCGGAUAAGCCCUUCGGGGGAAAGAUUUAUCGUCAAAAGAUGAGCCCGCGUUGGGUUAGCUAGUUGGUGAGGUAACGGCUCACCAAGGCGACGAUCCAUAGCUGGUCUGAGAGGAUGAUCAGCCACACUGGGACUGAGACACGGCCCAGACUCCUACGGGAGGCAGCAGUGGGGAAUAUUGGACAAUGGGGGCAACCCUGAUCCAGCAACGCCGCGUGAGUGAUGAAGGUCUUCGGAUUGUAAAGCUCUUUUGGCAGGGACGAUGAUGACGGUACCUGCAGAAUAAGCUCCGGCUAACUUCGUGCCAGCCGCCGCGGUAA